GCCUCUUUAGCUCAGUGGCUAGAGCACUGGUCUUGUAAACCAGGGGUCGUGAGUUCAAUCCUCACAGGAGGCA
rnacentral:tRNA from 1 species